rnacentral:tRNA from 1 species
ACUUAUAUAGUUUAUGUAAAAUAAAGCCUUGUGGUGGCAGAGAAGUUUUGACUUUAAGUA